rnacentral:rRNA from 1 species
UACGUAGGGUCCAAGCGUUAAUCGGAAUUACUGGGCGUAAAGCGUGCGCAGGCGGUUUUGUAAGUCAGAUGUGAAAUCCCCGGGCUUAACCUGGGAACUGCGUUUGAAACUACAAGGCUAGAGUGUGGCAGAGGGGGUGGAAUUCCACGGUGUAGCAGUGAAAUGCGUAGAGAUGUGGAGGAACACCGAUGGCGAAGGCAGCCCCUGGGUUAACACUGACGCUCAGGCACGAAAGCGU